rnacentral:antisense_RNA from 1 species
UUUACAUAUUCUGCAAAUGCUCCAGGAUAUCUAGCUCCAAUCACUGUUAAUUUUUCGCAUUGUGACAGUAAUCCUUUUUUACAGCUUUCACACUUUCCGCAAUAAAGUGCAGGGCA